rnacentral:rRNA from 1 species
UACGUAGGGGGCGAGCGUUGUCCGGAUUUAUUGGGCGUAAAGAGCGUGUAGGCGGCCAGGUAGGUCCGUUGUGAAAACUCGAGGCUCAAUCUCGAGACGUCGAUGGAAACCAUCUGGCUAGAGUCCGGAAGAGGAGAGUGGAAUUCCUGGUGUAGCGGUGAAAUGCGCAGAUAUCAGGAAGAACACCUAUGGCGAAGGCAGCUCUCUGGGACGGUACUGACGCUGAGACGCGAAAGCGUGGGGAGCGAACAGG